UACGGAGGAUCCAAGCGUUAUCCGGAAUCAUUGGGUUUAAAGGGUCCGUAGGCGGUCAGAUAAGUCAGUGGUGAAAGCCCAUCGCUCAACGGUGGAACGGCCAUUGAUACUGUCUGACUUGAAUUAUUAGGAAGUAACUAGAAUAUGUAGUGUAGCGGUGAAAUGCUUAGAGAUUACAUGGAAUACCAAUUGCGAAGGCGGGUUACUACUAAUUGAUUGACGCUGAUGGACGAAAGCGUGGGUAGCGAACAGG
rnacentral:rRNA from 1 species